rnacentral:hammerhead_ribozyme from 1 species
GCACAGCUGAAGAGUCCCAAAAUAGGACGAAACGGCCGUUCAGUGC